UACGGAGGGGGCUAGCGUUGUUCGGAAUUACUGGGCGUAAAGCGCACGUAGGCGGCAGGCCAAGCGUGCGGUGAAAGUCCGGGGCUCAACCCCGGAUCGGCCGUGCGGACUGGUUUGCUAGAGCACUGUAGAGGCGAGUGGAAUUCCGGGUGUAGCGGUGGAAUGCGUAGAGAUCCGGAAGAACACCGGUGGCGAAGGCGGCUCGCUGGGCAGUGGCUGACGCUGAGGCGCGACAGCGUGGGGAGCAACAGG
rnacentral:rRNA from 1 species